GGCAUGCAUACAGGAGCCAUCGAUGUUCCAGAUGUUUGUUGGUACCAGCUGUAUUCAAACCUAAAAUAAUUCUGGGUAAGAACGAAUUCCAAGAGUUCAAGAGUAUAUUCAAUGGGAGGACCACUAUACACUGUAGAGACUUUCAAUAGGUGCUGCAUGGCAUUAAAGGGACACUACAGUCACCAAAACAACUACAGCUUAAUGUAUUUGUUCUGGUGAGUAGAAUCAUUCCCUUCAGGCUUUUUGCUGUAAAUACUAGUGAUAACUGCACUGGCCACUCCUUAGUUGGCUGCUAGAGUUGCUUCCUGGAGCAGUGCUGCAUAGUGAGCAGCACUGCCAUGCACUGUCUCCAGCCUCUGCAUGCAGACACUGAAC